rnacentral:rRNA from 1 species
UGGGGAAUUUUGGACAAUGGGCGAAAGCCUGAUCCAGCAAUGCCGCGUGUGUGAAGAAGGCCUUCGGGUUGUAAAGCACUUUUGUCCGGAAAGAAAUCCUUGGCUCUAAUACAGUCGGGGGAUGACGGUACCGGAAGAAUAAGCACCGGCUAACUACGUGCCAGCAGCCGCGGUAAUACGUAGGGUGCAAGCGUUAAUCGGAAUUACUGGGCGUAAAGCGUGCGCAGGCGGUUUGCUAAGACCGAUGUGAAAUCCCCGGGCUCAACCUGGGAACUGCAUUGGGUGACUGGCAGGCUAGAGUAUGGCAGAGGGGGGUAGAAUUCCACGUGUAGCAGUGAAAUGCGUAGAGAUGUGGAGGAAUACCGAUGGCGAAGGCAGCCCCCUGGGCCAAUACUGACGCUCAUGCACGAAAGCGUGGGGGAGCAAAACAGGAUUAGAUACCCUGGUAGUCCACGCCCUAAAACGAUGUCAACUAGUUGUUGGGGAUUCAUUUCCUUAGUAACGUAGCUAACGCGUGAAGUUGACCGCCUGGGGAGUACGGUCGCAAGAUUAAAACUCAAAGGAAUUGACGGGGUCAUAGCUGUUUCC